ensembl:misc_RNA Metazoa_SRP Metazoan signal recognition particle RNA
GCUGUGUUCAGUGGCGUGUGCCUGUUAUCCAAGCUGCUGCGGGUGUGGAUCGCUUGAGCUUAGGGCUUCUGGACUGCAGUGGACUAUAUUGAUCCAGUGUCCACGCUAAGUUUGGUAUCAAUAUGGUACUCCUCAGGGAGCUCAAAACCACCAGGUCGUGUAAGGAAGGGUGAACUGGCCAAGGUUGUAGACGGAGCAGGUCAAAUCCCCUGUGCUGAUCAGUAGUGGGAUCACACCUGUGAAUGGACACUGCAGUUCAGCCAGAGUGAUGCAGACUUU